rnacentral:sRNA from 1 species
AUUUGAGACAACCUGACGCUAUUUCUAUGCUUGACGAUGAAAUGAAUUUCACUACAGUGUAUUUUAUGAACACCAUUCCUAGCUGAACGACUGUUCAUAAUCCUGAAAUUUUUAGUGAUUCCUAAAUCCGAAAUCAUAAUACGAGGGAUAGAGAAGUAUGGAAACAGGUACAGUUAAAUGGUUCAAUAAUGCAAAGGGCUUUGGAUUUAUUUGCCCGGCUGGCGGCGGCGAUGACAUAUUCGCUCACUAUUCAACCAUUCAGAUGGAUGGUUAUAGAACGCUGAAAGCGGGACAAAAAGUGAAUUUCAGUGUUAAUCAAGGCCCUAAAGGCACUCAUGCCAGUCU